rnacentral:rRNA from 1 species
CGGAACCUGCGAAGGCAAGCGGAUCUCUUAAAGCCGUUCUCAGUUCGGACUGUAGGCUGCAACUCGCCUACACGAAGCUGGAAUCGCUAGUAAUCGCGGAUCAGCACGCCGCGGUGAAUACGUUCCCGGGCCUUGUACACACCGCCCGUCACACCAUGAGAGUCUGUAACACCCAAAGCCGGUGGGAUAACCUCUAUAGGAGUCAGCCGUCUAAGGUAGGACAGAUGAUUAGGGUGAAGUCGUAACAAGGUACC